rnacentral:pre_miRNA from 1 species
ACACUUCGAAGAUAGGUGUCGGUACCCCAGAACGCGGUCAUCAUACUUUCAUCCUCGAUUUCUCGGGUAGUGCGCAUUCCUGGGGCUGUA